rnacentral:rRNA from 1 species
GACGAACUCUGGCGGCGUGCUUACCACAUGCAAUUCGAACGGAAAGGCCCUGCUUUUUUGGGGUGCUCGAGUGGCGAACGGGUGAGUAACACGUGAGUAACCUGCCCUUGACUUUGGGAUAACUUCAGGAAACUGGGGCUAAUACCGGAUAGGAGCUCCUGCUGCAUGGUGGGGGUUGGAAAGUUUCGGCGGUUGGGGAUGGAGUCGGGGCUUAUCAGCUUGUUAGUGUGGUAUUGGCUUACCAAGGCUUUGACGGGUUGCCGGCCUGAGAGGGUGACCGGCCACACUAGGAACGGGAUAACGCAAAGACUGCUAUGGGAGCCAGCAGUGGGGAAUAUUGCACAAUGGGCGGAAGAAUGAUGCAGCAACGCCGCGUGCGGGAUGACGGCCUUCGGGUUGUAAGCCGCUUUCGCCUGUGACGAAGCGUGAGUGACGGUAAUGGGUAAAGAAGCACCGGCUAACUACGUG